GCAAGUAAGAAAAAUACUAUAUUUUGAGUAUUAUUCAAUAAAAAUAAUAAAAUAGCCCAUUUAGGAUAUCUAUAUUUUUUAUUUGACUUCAUAAUUUCUAUAUUCAUUUGAGAUUGUAUUUCUUUGCUUCUUACAACCACCCAACUGCUUUUGAAGAGUUUAUUGUAUGUCAAAACUAAGAGCUUCUAUUUCACCACAUUAGAAUUCUACAGAUCAGGUUGGGCAAAUAGCUCAGUUAUUAAAUCUAUUGCUCAACCAUAGAGCCUGGGUUUGGUGAUCAGCACCCAUAUGGUGGUUCACCACCAUUCAUGACUCUACUUCCAAGGGAUCUGAAACACUCCUCUUACCUUUACAGAUACUAGACAUACAAAUGUUACAUGUAUACACAUAUAGGCAAAAAUGUCAUGUGUAUAAGAUGAAAAUAAUAGAAAAGUUAAUUUGCAGUAAAGUAAUCCUAUAGACAAUAAGCAAAAUAAAACUAUUUCUUAUUUAAUAAUUUUUAUUAAAUAUUUUCUUAUUUAGUAAGUAAUUGGCAAUUAUCACCAUAAAUUAUACAUAUAAUUAUAUAUAAAACUUCUAAGACAUAAAGUGUACUAUUAAAAUAGGGAAAUUCAUUGCAACCUUGACUGUAAGCCUAUAAAGAAAAAAAGGUUGCAUUCAUAAAUAUAAACAUUGUUUUCUUAAUCUUACUCAUUUUGAAGAGCUUUUAACAUGACUGUCUAAACAUAAUUUCUUGAGAAUGUAAGUUCCAGAUGUUGAGUUUUUUCAAUUCUCCUUCAUAAGUUUUCCUUUGGUGACUAAUUUCUAAAGGGGCUUCAAAAGGAAGCAUAGCAACUUUAUUGGGAAGAUACAUUCUGUUUGUGUUACUACUGCUCUGUAGUAAAGCUUGAGGUCAGGGAUGGUGAUUCCCACAGCCUUUCUUUAAUUGUUAAGAGUUCUUUUUGCUAUUUUGUUUUUUUGCCUUUCUGGGUGGAUGAUUUUCUCUAUAUUCAUUAUAUGAAAUUGUAUGUAGCUGGAUAAAUGGAAUCAUUAAAGUUUAUAAUACAUAUGUAACACAUUUAUAAUAGUAUACUACAAUAAAAAAAUGAAAAAUGAGACCUACUAUACUAUUGGUUUCAUUUUCACAUAUGUGUCAUGGUCAUGGUUAGAACUCUCAUGGGCUGAGCUUAUCACAACCUCCUUUUUCCUAUUUAUCUUUACAUUUAUAUAAAUACAUAAAAUCAUGUAUGUAUUUAUAUAACAGAUAAUUUCUUAUUAAUGUCUUCUAAAUUAAUAGCUAAUGUUAAUUUGCCAUUUUUCAUUCCCUUGUACAAAAACAUAUUAUAAUAGGAAAGGAUUUCUACUGAAUUUCAUUUUCCAUGAGAUCUAUAAAGCUGUCCCAUAAUGAGGGACCAUCAGAAAAUCUUCAAUUAAUACACAUCCAGUAGUUUACUUAAUCACUACAUUUUAAAAGUAACAGAUUCACAGAUUAAAAGAGAUAAAAAAUGGGUCAAUUUAACAUUUUUUAUUACAUUUAAACCAGGAAUAAAACAGCUUUGAUAACAGUGUUGCAAUUAUAUAAGGCUCUAACACACACACACACACACACACACACACACACACAAGAAAACAAAACACAGGGCACAGAAUACAAACAACUCUCUAAAGCAUCUUUUGCUAAUUCUUUCAAACCCAAAAUUAUUUCUAAAGAAAAUAUGUUCUACUUCAGCUCCUAUAUAUAUUGCUAGUUAGAAUUAAAGCUUUGUUAUUUUCAUUUUAAUGCUUUGUGGUCAAAAUGUAUAAUCUAGCCCCAUGCAAAAGUCUAAGAAGAAUAACUAAAUUAUAUAAAUUCUUACAUUAAGAUGGCUCUAAUUUUAUGCUAUGUCUAAUUGUAAUUCAUGCCAUACUGUUGUAAAUACUGUGAGUACUGUUUUUUAGAUAGUGUAAAUAGCACAACAAUGUUCACAAAGACAUUGGGGAAGUACUAAGGAGGAAGGAGAUAAAAAAUAUCAAUUAUGGUUUUGCACCUUGGAUUCUUAUACUGAACCAUAAGUAUAGUGUAACUUUUUAUUCCAAAGUAAAAUCACCUAUAGAACUGAACGUUGUAAAAGACUAUCAGUGCCAAUGUGGAUAAUAGUAGAUCAUAUUACCCUUAGACAUUCUGAUUUUUAUUUUAGAGAUUGUAUUCCUGAAGUGAUAUAAGAAUGAGCUAAAUACCUAAUAAAAAUGGAAAAAAAUAAAAAUUAAAAUUAAAAAAAAAA
rnacentral:lncRNA from 1 species